GCGGUGAGUGGUUCUGAGUCUGAGGGCAUGACGCUUGAUCAGUGCUGCCCACUGCCCUCCGAAGGCAGGGGUUGCUGGUUCGAUCCCAGCCGGGCGCGCCA
rnacentral:tRNA from 1 species